rnacentral:rRNA from 1 species
GAUGAAAGCUGGCGGCGUGCUUAACACAUGCAAGUCGAACGGUGAAGCCAAGCUUGCUUGGUGGAUCAGUGGCGAACGGGUGAGUAACACGUGAGCAACCUGCGCUGGACUCUGGGAUAAGCGCUGGAAACGGUGUCUAAUACUGGAUAUUAGCUCCUUCCGCAUGGUGGGGGUUGGAAAGAUUUUUCGGUCUGGGAUGGGCUCGCGGUCUAUCAGCUUGUUGGUGAGUUAAUGGCUCACCAAGGCGUCGACGGGCAGCCGGCCUGAGAGGGUGACCUGCCACACUGGGACUCAGACACGGCCCAGACUCCUACUGGAGGCAGCAGUGGGGAAUAUUGCACAAUGGGCGGAAGCCUGAUGCAGCAACGCCGCGUGAGGGAUGACGGCCUUCGGGUUGUAAACCUCUUUUAGCAGUGAAGAAGCUUUUGUGACGGUACCUGCAGAAAAAGCGCCGGCUAACUACGUGCCAGCAGCCGCGGUAA